AGAGUCCUGAGGGCAUUUGACUCAUCCUGUUUUCAAUUAAUUACAAUAAUGUGUUGAGCUUUGGGCUAAAAUUCUCUUGCUGUGUAUCUGCUGUUCCUGCUUUUUUUUUUUUUUUUUUUUUUUUUUUUUUUUUUUUUUUGUUACUGAGAGGGAUCAUAUGGUGUUCUUUCUGCUCUUUGGUUUGAAUUAGUAAGCUUAGUCUUUUCCCAGGGGAAAAAACUCCCCCCCCCCCCCCCCAAUAAUAAAUCAACAACAAGAACAACAAAAUAAGCUUCUAUCUUUGGGAAAAACAGCUACUUUACAGGGGAAGGCUGGUCCUUUCCCUUCCGGUCUGAAUGAAAGGAUUAACUAGCAGGAAGAUUAAUCCAGACAGAAAACACAAACUCCACAGUGACCAACAGAAGAGAAGAGAUCUUCCAGGUGCUGGUUCCCUCCUCCUGGUUUCUGUUCUUAUCUCCUCAUGUGAGGACUGUACAUGAGACAUCCCCUACCUAGUUCACAAGCUGGCAGGGAAGCUUUUGAAGGUAGUUUUGCUGCUAGAAGGUAUAAGAUCCACAAAAGACUGACGAGGAACAGCAGUUGUUAUCCUCCCUGGUAAAAGGCUAUCAUAGUGAAUAUACAGAGUCUUUUCUGUGCAAGAGACAAGGAUUUUCUUGUGAAUGUGUUAAGUGUGAUCUUGAAAGGAGCAACAGAGGUGAGAUAAAGAGACUGGAGAGACUGGAGAGAUGGUAAAGCUGCAGGAAGAUGUGCCUGUAAAGCGAGAGAAAUGGGGAAAGCUGGAGAUGAUGGAGAAAGGCAUGACAGACAGAUGGAGCAAGACUGUGUGUUUUGAGAAGACCAAAUGAAAAGUACAAGGAAAUAUGGAUUUGGUCCCAUGUGACAAGGAUGAGAGAGCAUCUGAUACUAGAGCUCUAAUGGAGGAACUGAUUCCAUCAUUUUAGGAGGAUUUGUGAAACUGGUUUCCUGGAUAAUUUUUCUACAGAGGCAGCAGAUCCUAGGGCUGGAGGUCAGCACUGAGCAAGGGGAGAACAGCACAAGGCACCUUAACCGCUGCUCCUUGCUCCGCUUCAAAAAAGACUCCUGUUACACUGGGAUUGCUCUGUACCAUGCAGUGAGGAGGAGACGCCCCAUCCUACACAAGCAGCUUUGUUUUGAGGUUUUAUUCCUGAUCUGAGGUACAAGAUCUUAUAGCUGAUAAUUGAACACUUCUCAGUGAGAAGGUGGAAAAAAUGUGCUAUUUCAUGUUCUUCACAGUUACUUGAGUAGCUAUAGUCUGUCAUCUUUACUUUUUUUUCAUCAUGCAAAUUCAAAGGGAAAUAUGAAUAAAAUUUAAAAGUGUUUAUCAUUGAACAGAUGAAUGAGAAUGCUUUUUAACAGUUAGGCUAAGCUGUGGAACUCCUUGCUAGUGAAUACCCUUAAAAUCCAACUUCCAAAGGGGAACAGGGUCUUUGAAAGAUAAUGAUAGCAUCCCCACUAAUACACCAAUAAAGACAAAUUCCAUGGUACAGGCAAAGAUGAUUAUGAGAAGAACUUUGAGAUAAGCCUAAUAGCAAUUCACUAAAUAUCUGCUUUCAGGUUUUUCCAAGAUAUAGUUAUAAUGAAUGGAUUUGUGUUUUGAAGAUAAUUAUCAAAGACUGAAAGCUUAUUUUCACUUGGAAUUGUAAUGAAAAUAAAUAGGUUCUUUUUGAAAGUAUCCAUUAAUGAGGAUCUCUAGAAAAUGAUUUUACUUCAGAAAAUGAUUGUUGAAAAGUGGUAAUAAAAACAGCUUUGUUGAAAAGUGGUAAUAUUUGUGAAAAUUUAUUUCCAACCUUAUUUUAGAUUCUGUUUUAUUUAGGAUUGCUGCAUGGAAAUGUUCACAGAAAAUGAAAAAAAAAA